ensembl:lncRNA
CCACCACCACCACCACCACCACCACCAUUGAGGGCCCAGAGACUGGGGUUAAACCUGAGACGGUGGAGACUGUCCUGUCAGCCAGCCCUACCACCAACAACUGGGGGACAGAGCCUGGCAACAAACGGAAGAGACGCCCAAGUACAAAAGUGGACACUCUCCCGACAACAAGCCCUACCACCACCAACAGGGGGACAGAGACUGGCAACAAACGAAAAAGACACCCAAGCACAAAAGUGGAGACUGUCCUGUCAGCCAGCCCUGCCAUCACCACCAACGACUGGCAAAAUACAAAACAGACGCCCAAGGACACACAACCAAUACCACCCCUCCCCCCACCUAUACUCCACAGUUGUACUUAAAAAGGACUUGACAAUGUUUUCUUAAAAAUGUGUUUUUUAUACAGUGUUUUAUUCUGUAUUUAUACUAUUCCUUGUGUGACUGUUUGUGUGAGCAUUGUUUUAGAGGCUGCAUAAACAGAUUUCAUUGUACGGUUUUAUUGCACAAUGACAAUAAAGAAUAAACAUGCCACUAUUUGCUUAUGUCAAACAGUUUCUAAAGAGGAAAAGGAUUGCCCCCACAACAGCCAG